UACAGAGGUCCCAAGCGUUGUUCGGAUUCACUGGGCGUAAAGGGUGCGUAGGUGGUGAGGUAAGUCGGAUGUGAAAUCUCCGGGCUCAACCCGGAAAUGGCAUUGGAAACUACCUUGCUAGAGGAUUUGAGGGGGGAUUGGAAUACUUGGUGUAGCAGUGAAAUGCGUAGAUAUCAAGUGGAACACCAGUGGCGAAGGCGAAUCCCUGGAAAAUACCUGACACUGAGGCACGAAAGCUAGGGGAGCAAACAGG
rnacentral:rRNA from 1 species